AUGCUCUCUUUGGCAGCACAUAUGCUAAAAUUAGAAGGAUACAGAGAAGAUUAGCACGGCCACUACACAAGGAUGGCACGCAAAUUUGUGAACUUAAAUAAGAACUA